rnacentral:lncRNA from 1 species
GAGUGAGACUACUUUGCUUCUAAAGCAGGGGAACCUUUGUGCUUUCAUUUUAUGUGUUCCUCUAAUAAGACAACAUUCGAAUCAAAGAUCCGUUCUGUUAAAUUUGACUUAUACUAUUUGAAGUAUUUAGAAGUCAAGUUUCGUGAUUUUUUAAUAUUAUUUAUCUGGUGAUUGAAAGGUUUUAAAAAUUAAUUAUUUUAAUAGUCAAUACGAGUUGAUUGUAAGUUUAAUAGUGUAAAAAUAUCCAAAAAAAAAAAAAGU